GAAAGCCAUGUAUUAAUUAAAAAAAGAGAAGACUUUUGUCUUUAGGUUAUGUUUUUAAACAACGUAAACUUCAUAUUUACUUCUCAUUAAAAUAAUUUUUUUGUUAACUCAUUGGUAACUUCAAAAGAAAUUUCAAGUCAAGAAUAUCUAAUCGAGAACCGUGAUAAUACACACUGUUGGCAGUGCACCUAAAAAAUUGCUGAAUUCCCCAAUUUUGAGCAUCUAGAAAAUUGCAUCGGACAUUGUUUCAAAAGGAGUUCGUCAACGCUGUUGGCCAACGCUGGGGCUGAUAUCAAUGUUUUAAAACGGCAUGGUGGAUGGAAAAGUUCAUCAGUGGCUGAAAAAUAUGUGGAGGAAUCCGUAGAGAGCAAAAAGAAAAUAGCAAGAAUGAUAUUAGAGGUGAAAUUUCUGUACAAGUGUUAAACCAAAACCAUACAUCUCCAGCAUUAUUGAAAAUAAAGAAGUACAUCCAGUAAUUCCUCCAAUAAAUGUUUAUUUAAUUUACUACAUUUACUGUUUCAUUAUGUCUUGUACGAUUAAACAUUUUUCUCUGAUUGAACUGAAGUAGUAGAAAAGUCUGAUAAAAAAAAAGUUUCCCUAAACAUAAGUUUGUUUGAGAGAUCAGAAAAUGGACAUUGAAGUUUUACUUACCUUGGAAUUCUAUAAAUUUACUUGAUUUAUGAUGACAGUUGAAAAAAAACUCAUCAAUUUAUAAGUUAUUUAAUCAAAUGGAUCAUUUUGCUUAUUAAAAAAAAACACAUUUCAUUCAAUAUAAAAUUAAAACUUAAGAUUUAA